GGAAGAGAUGUCGCCGGUCAUGGCUGGAUGCCGCCAUCACUGUCGCAGAGAAAAAGGAAGAGAUGUGUGAGAGAGAUGAGGGAGUGAGGUCGCAAGACUUCCAUGGAGAAAGAGAAAAGCGCGCGACGGAGAAGAGGAAGGAGGGAGUCCCAUCGCUGCCACUGCCGUUGAUCAAGACUGUUGUCAUCCUGGUUGAGGCCAUCGUCGUCACCAAACAGCGCAGAGAAGGGGGGCGCGAAUGGGAGAG